rnacentral:rRNA from 1 species
GACGAACCGUGCGAACGUUGUUCGGAAUCACUGGGCUUAAAGGGCGCGUAGGCGGGCGAGCAAGUCCGGGGUGAAAUCUUUCGGCUUAACCGGAAAAGUGCCUUGGAGACUGCUCGUCUGGAGGGAGGUAGGGGCAUGUGGAACUUCCGGUGGAGCGGUGAAAUGCGUUGAUAUCGGAAGGAACGCCGGUGGCGAAAGCGACGUGCUGGACCUCUUCUGACGCUGAGGCGCGAAAGCCAGGGGAGCGAACGGG